GACGAACGCUGGCGGCGUGCUUAACACAUGCAAGUCGAACGGAAAGGCCCUGCUUUUGUGGGGUGCUCGAGUGGCGAACGGGUGAGUAACACGUGAGUAACCUGCCCUUGACUUUGGGAUAACUUCAGGAAACUGGGGCUAAUACCGGAUAGGAGCCCCUGCUGCAUGGUGGGGGUUGGAAAGUUUCGGCGGUUGGGGAUGGACUCGCGGCUUAUCAGCUUGAUGGUGGGGUAGUGGCUUACCAAGGCUUUGACGGGUAGCCGGCCUGAGAGGGUGACCGGCCACAUUGGGACUGAGAUACGGCCCAGACUCCUACGGGAGGCAGCAGUGGGGAAUAUUGCACAAUGGGCGGAAGCCUGAUGCAGCAACGCCGCGUGCGGGAUGACGGCCUUCGGGUUGUAAACCGCUUUCGCCCGUGACGAAGCGUGAGUGACGGUAAUGGGUAAAGAAGCACCGGCUAACUACGUG
rnacentral:rRNA from 1 species